ACUCAAAGGAAUUGACGGGGGCCCGCACAAGCGGUGGAGCAUGUUGUUUAAUACGUCACUAACCGUAGAACCUUACCAGGGCUUGACAUCUGUGGACAUCCCAUGAAAGUGGGCUUUCCCCGCAAGGGGACCGCAAGACAGGUGUUGCAUGGCUGUCGUCAGCUCGUGUCGUGAGAUGUUGGGUUAAGUCCCGCAACGAGCGCAACCCUCACCCCAUGUUGCCAGCGAGUCAUGUCGGGAACUCUUGGGGAACUGCCUGGGUAACCGGGAGGAAGGUGGGGAUGACGUCAAGUCAGCAUGGCCCUUACGCCCUGGGCUACAAACAUGCUACAAUGGACGGUAGACAAAGGGAUCCGAGACCGCGAGGUGGAGGCAAUCUCAAAAAUCCGUUCCCAGUUCAGAUCGCAGGCUGCAACUCGCCUGCGUGAAGUCGGAAUCGCUAGUAACCGCCGAUCAGCUAAGCGGCGGUGAAUACGUUCCCGGGCCUUGUACACACCGCCCGU
rnacentral:rRNA from 1 species